GCAGCAGCGGAGGCGGGAGGACGAAGAAGGGGAGGAGGAGCCCGUCGCAGGAUGAAGGAUCGGACUCAGGAGCUGCGGAGUGCAAAAGACAGUGACGAUGAAGAGGAAGUGGUUCAUGUGGAUCGAGACCACUUUAUGGAUGAGUUCUUUGAGCAGGUGGAAGAGAUCCGAGGCUGCAUCGAGAAACUGUCCGAGGAUGUGGAGCAAGUGAAGAAACAGCACAGUGCCAUUCUUGCUGCCCCCAACCCCGAUGAGAAGACUAAACAGGAGCUGGAGGACCUCACGGCAGACAUCAAAAAGACGGCAAACAAGGUCCGGUCCAAGUUGAAAGCGAUCGAGCAGAGCAUUGAGCAGGAAGAGGGGUUGAAUCGUUCUUCUGCAGACCUGCGUAUCCGUAAGACCCAGCACUCCACACUCUCACGGAAGUUCGUGGAGGUAAUGACCGAAUAUAAUGCAACUCAGUCUAAGUACCGGGACCGCUGCAAGGACCGUAUCCAGAGGCAGCUGGAGAUCACUGGCAGGACUACUACCAACGAAGAGCUGGAAGACAUGUUGGAAAGCGGGAAGCUGGCCAUCUUCACGGACGACAUCAAAAUGGACUCGCAGAUGACAAAGCAAGCCCUGAAUGAGAUAGAGACAAGGCACAAUGAGAUCAUCAAACUGGAAACCAGCAUCCGAGAGCUGCACGACAUGUUUGUGGACAUGGCCAUGCUCGUGGAGAGCCAGGGUGAGAUGAUCGACCGAAUUGAGUACAAUGUGGAACAUUCUGUGGACUACGUGGAGCGAGCCGUGUCCGACACCAAGAAAGCUGUGAAAUAUCAGAGCAAGGCCAGGAGGAAGAAAAUUAUGAUCAUCAUUUGCUGUGUGGUGCUGGGGGUGGUCUUGGCGUCAUCUAUUGGGGGGACACUGGGCUUGUAGGCCCCUACCCUUCUCUUCCCCAGGACCCUCCCCACACAUCGGGAGCAAUACCCCCACCACCCUUUCACUCUUUCCCCUGCUCCAAGCUCACUCCCAAAACAGACCCAGGCAGUUCCAGCCUCUCUCACCCUCACGCAGACCCUGGAGUCCCUGGCUCUCACCUUGCCAUGGAUCCCCCUCCACCUUGCCGCACAUAGAUAGCAGCAGGCGUGAUCACACAUGCACACCAACAUGCAUGCCGAGGGCACAUGCUCAAGACGUGUGGACACCCCAGCGUGUGUGUACUUGUGUAGAUGUAUGUAGAUGCCCUGAACCUCUUCUUGCUGCCACCUUCAUCCUGUGUGGUCUGAACUUCCCUCUCUAGCCGGUUGCUGUGCUGACUGUAGCAGCCUACCAUGGCCCAACCUGUUCUGUGUGAAUAGACAUGGUGUGUAUGUGUGUGUGUGUGUGUGUGUGUGUGUGUGUGUGUGUGUGUGUAGAUCUGUGCCCAUACAAUGUAUGUACAUGGAGUUUUGUGAAUGUGAAAACCCAAAGCAUUUCCUCCACCUUCUCUCCUAUCUGUUACAUUUGGAGUGGGAGGCAUAUGUGAGGAUAAUUUACAUUCUCAGAGGAUCCAGGGUGGCCCGGUGACCAUGCCACACAUCUUUUGUGAUGUAGAACAAACUUUCCUGGCUUGGUUACUGCCAGGGGUCACAUCAUGUCCUGAGGAUUCUCUCUCUCAGCCUCUCUCUCUGUCUCUCUGUCCCUCAGUCUCUGUCUCUGUCUCUGUCUCUGUGUGUGUGUGUGUGUGUGUGUGUGUGUGUGUGUGUGUGUGUGUGU
rnacentral:lncRNA from 1 species